GAGUGUAGAGGCGGCAGGUAGCCUAGUGGUUAGAGUGGAGGGGUGGCAGGGUAGCCUAGUGGUUAGAGUGGCGGGGCGGCAGCGUAGCCUAGUGGUUAGAGUGUAGGGGUGGCAGGUAGCCUAGUGGUUAGAGUGGAGGGGUGGCAGGGUAGCCUAGUGGUUAGAGUGGAGGGGUGGCAGGGUAGCCUAGUGGUUAGAGUGGAGGGGUGGCAGGGUAGCCUAGUGGUUAGAGUGGAGGGGCGGCAGGGUAGCCUAGUGGUUAGAGUGGAGGGGCGGCAGGGUAGCCUAGUGGUUAGAGUGGAGGGGCGGCAGGGUAGCCUAGUGGUUAGAGUGGAGGGGUGGCAGGGUAGCCUAGUGGUUAGAGUGGAGGGGCGGCAGCGUAACCUAGUGGUUAGAGUGUAGGGGCGGCAGCGUAGCCUAGUGGUUAGAGUGGAGGGGUGGCAGGGUAGCCUAGUGGUUAGAGCGUAGGGGCGGCAGGGUAGCCUAGUGGUUAGAGUGGCGGGGCGGCAGCGUAGCCUAGUGGUUAGAGUGUAGGGGCGGCAGCGUAGCCUAGUGGUUAGAGUGUUGGACUAGUAACCGGAAGGUUGCAAGUUCAAACCCCCGAGCUGACAAGGUACAAAUCUGUCACUCUGCCCCUGAACAGGCAGUUAAACCCACUGUUCCUAGGCCGUCAUUGAAAAUAAGAAUUUGUUCUUAACUGACUUGCCUAGUUAAAUAAAGGUUAAAAAAAAACUUUUUUUAUAUUUAAAAAAAGACAAAAAUAUCUCAACAGGAAGGCCUAAGGUGAGUUUUAAAACAAACACAACUUCUUUUUUAUUUUUGGUGAGAAAUCUCACUACUUAAAUGGUUAUUUAUUCUAUAAUCAUCUCUAUAAGAAUGAAUCUAAUCCAAGGUUGUGUCUGUGUGUAUAAGCACAGUUUGGACU
ensembl:lncRNA